rnacentral:rRNA from 1 species
AGUGAACGCUGGCGGCAGGCCUAAUACAUGCAAGUCGAACGGCAGCACAGCAGAGCUUGCUCUGUGGGUGGCGAGUGGCGGACGGGUGAGGAAUACAUGGGAAUCUGCCCAGUCGUGGGGGAUAAUGUAUGGAAACGUACGCUAAUACCGCAUGCGCCCUAAGGGGGAAAGCCGGGGACCGCAAGGCCUGGCGCGAUUGGAUGAGCCCAUGUUCGAUUAGCUAGUUGGCGGGGUAAAGGCCCACCAAGGCGACGAUCGAUAGCUGGUCUGAGAGGAUGAUCAGCCACACUGGAACUGAGACACGGUCCAGACUCCUACGGGAGGCAGCAGUAGGGAAUAUUGGACAAGUGGGGCAACCCUGAUCCAGCCAUGCCGCGUGAGUGAAGAAGGCCCUCGGGUUGUAAAGCUCUUUGUCCGGAAAGAAAGCAAUCGGUUAAUACCCGGUUGUUCUGACGGUACCGGAAGAAUAAGCACCGGCUAACUUCGUGCC